rnacentral:rRNA from 1 species
AUGCACGCUGGCGGCGUGCUUCACACCUGCAAGUCGAACGAAGCACUUUAUUUGAUUUCCUUCGGGACUGAUUAUUUUGUGACUGAGUGGCGGACGGGUGAGUAACGCGUGGGUAACCUGCCUUGUACAGGGGGAUAACAGUUGGAAACGGCUGCUAAUACCGCAUAAGCGCACGGCAUCGCAUGAUGCAGUGUGAAAAACUCCGGUGGUAUAAGAUGGACCCGCGUUGGAUUAGCUAGUUGGUGAGGUAACGGCCCACCAAGGCGACGAUCCAUAGCCGACCUGAGAGGGUGACCGGCCACAUUGGGACUGAGACACGGCCCAAACUCCUACGGGAGGCAGCAGUGGGGAAUAUUGCACAAUGGGCGAAAGCCUGAUGCAGCGACGCCGCGUGAGCGAAGAAGUAUUUCGGUAUGUAAAGCUCUAUCAGCAGGGAAGAUAAUGACGGUACCUGACUAAGAAGCACCGGCUAAAUACGUG